UACGGAGGGUGCAAGCGUUAUCCGGAUUCACUGGGUUUAAAGGGUGCGUAGGUGGGUUGGUAAGUCAGUGGUGAAAUCUCCAGGCUUAACUUGGAAACUGCCAUUGAUACUAUCAAUCUUGAAUACCGUGGAGGUCAGCGGAAUAUGUCAUGUAGCGGUGAAAUGCUUAGAUAUGACAUAGAACACCAAUUGCGAAGGCAGCUGGCUACACGAAUAUUGACAGCUGAUGCACGAAAGCGUGGGGAUCAAACAGG
rnacentral:rRNA from 1 species